AGCUUUCUGUGUUUUUCAGAACUGUUUUCAUUAUUCAAAGCCAGCCAAUGUAUUCUCAGUACCCUAACUGAAAUACGGGACCUGUAUCUUUACAUCCUAUCUAAAGGAUACUUUCAUGAUAGAGCCUGAGUCCAGAAACUCAAUGUCAAUACCAUGCAGAGAAGGAGCAGAUUAAGGGAUUGCUGUUGACAACUGAGACCACUCCCAAAGCGUCCUCUCUCUGGUGUCAUAGGAAGUAGACAAGUGACAGGGGCAGGAAGCACUUGAUCACCAGUGAUCAUCAAACAGAAAGGAAUCUAGCCGUGCUUGGAACGGAUAUCAUCGAUUCAGAACAUGGUGAGGGACCACUCGGGAUGAUCACACCUGACAAACAUCUGUUCUAUCCAAACGCAUCCGCUAGGGCUUCUGAAGUGUUUGCCUGAGAUCUCGACAAACUGUGGCCCAAGCCAGAAGUGCUGAUGGACAUCUGUGGACCCGGUGCCCAGCUCUUUGGAGGCGGAGGCCAUUUCUGCUUGAACAUUCAAGGCCAAUCUGAGCCACAUAGCAAGAUCAUGUGUCCAGAAAAAAAAAAGUCUGUGGUUUAAUAAUAAAAGAAGGCAGCUGGAGUUCGGGGAGAAGAAAAUCCUCUCGUCCAAACCAGACUCAUCCUGUGAGGAAAUGCUUGGCAUCUCUUGCAUACCAGGGAGGAGAAUAACAACACUUGCCUCCGUCUUCAACCGUGCACCUGCGUCUUUAAACAGACUAACACAGGUUCCAAGUACACUCGCAACAUUAGUCACGGAAGGCUGAAGUCUCAGGUGACACACACCCUACGCAAUGCACCGGGGUGGAAAACAAGAUGUCAACCAUAGUUCCUGUUCCCUCCCCGUCAAAGUUCCACUUUUCCCCUUCAAAAGAUGGAUAGAUAAAAGAAAAACAACCAUACUGACCUUCUAACUGAAACAAUGAAUUACAGGUAAUAGUUAUUUUAAUUAAAAAAAAACACAACAAACGUCUAUGUCAAAUGAUUUAAAAACCAGGGGAAGUGGAGGGGGGAAAAAAGGACAAAAAUGUUUAAGCAUGUGAGACCAACACUUCCUGCCAGAAGAACUUCCUGUUCUGGGAACCACAGAUGCGGAGAAACAUCCGCUCUGUAGCCACAGCCUGGGUUGCAGAGACCACUUCUCUGUUCUACUUACCCUUCUUCCCCAACGAAGGUGACGUACAGCUUAUUCCUCUGCAGGUCUUUUCUGGAGUAGCCCAUGAUCUGGUUGAAAGCAUCUUCCAGCAAGUGGUCCCGUCGGAUAAUUAACCUGUCCGCGGAGAGGCAAUAGGAACAGGGCAUUAAGAGAUUGCUUCCCGUGCCUUAUCUUUCUUGCUGGAUGAUCUCUGUUUGCCACAAUCGACUAGUGACUCUUGAGACUCCCUAAGGGGUAGAGAAAAACGGGUGACGCUUGUGACAAUCUCCAGUGAUGACGACAAGGGAAGCCAUCUUCUGCAGCGAUCGACGCACCCUUAAUGUCAAGAGCAGCGAGGACAUGGCAGGGAGCCUGAACUUAGGAAGAUCUUGGUAAUUCAAACACAAGAGAGGCAGUUCAGAGAGAUAUGGAGUCGGGGUUAGGCCGACGUGUUUGGAGGUCCGUGAAAGCGGAACUGACCAAGCCGACAUCCCUGUGCCUGGGGCAGCGAGCAUGGGGGCUGUUCCCCCACUGGGCACUCAGGGUACAAGGUGACCGUCCCUCCCCUCUCUUCUCACAGGGUGGGACAGUGAGCUCAAGUGGGGACACAGAGGUAGGAAGACGGGAGAGAGGUACGCACGGGGAUGAGAAGAUUUCUGGACAAGCAAGGGAGGUGGCUAAAGAGGCAGGCACAGCGUCCAUGACAGGUUCUGUUUGUUUCACAGAACGAAAUAGGGCUGGUCAUUAUCCUGUGCUCAUGUUGGCCCGGAACUAGUAACACGUGGCAUAAAACAUAGUGAUAAUGACACAUCUCAUGAAUAUCAGGCCAGCAGAGAGAGAGAGAGAGAAAAAGUCAUCAAUUUUGAAUUUUGCCUAUGGGUUUACAUAGGCCUAGCUUGAUUGAAAAUCAUAAGCUUACUAGUGUUUAAUUCCUGAACAUUUUGCAUCAUUAGAGUAUAAUUUACAAUUUCUGAAAUAAUUAUGCCCACCAAAAUAGACUCAUGUGACGCCCAAUUUUUCAAACUCACAACUGCUCCGACCUAUGCAUCUAUAAACCACGUGGUUUGCGUCAUUUCUACUUACUUUAA